AUUGAACGCUGGCGGCAUGCUUUACACAUGCAAGUCGAACGGUAACAGGCCGCAAGGUGCUGACGAGUGGCGAACGGGUGAGUAAUGCAUCGGAACGUGCCCAGUCGUGGGGGAUAACGCAGCGAAAGCUGUGCUAAUACCGCAUACGAUCUAUGGAUGAAAGCGGGGGACCGUAAGGCCUCGCGCGAUUGGAGCGGCCGAUGUCAGAUUAGGUAGUUGGUGGGGGAAAGGCUCACCAAGCCAACGAUCUGUAGCUGGUCUGAGAGGACGACCAACCGCACUGGGACUGAGACAGGGCCCAGACUCCUACGGGAGGCAGCAGUGGGGAAUUUUGGACAAUGGGCGCAAGCCUGAUUCAGCAAUGCCGCGUGCAGGAAGAAGGCCUUCGGGUUGUAAACUGCUUUUGUACGGAACGAAACGGUCUGGGUUAAUACCCUGGGCUAAUGACGGUACCGUAAGAAUAAGCACCGGCUAACUACGUGCCAGCCGCCGCCGUAAAAC
rnacentral:rRNA from 1 species